rnacentral:rRNA from 1 species
ACGCACGCUGGCGGCGUGCUUAACACAUGCAAGUCGAACGGUGAAGCUCCAGCUUGCUGGAGUGGAUCAGUGGCGAACGGGUGAGUAACACGUGAGCAACCUGCCCCUGACUCUGGAAUAAGCGCUGGAAACGGCGUCUAAUACUGGAUACGAGAAGGGUCCGCAUGGGCACUUUCUGGAAAGUUUUUCGGUUGGGGAUGGGCUCGCGGCCUAUCAGCUUGUUGGUGAGGUAAUGGCUCACCAAGGCGACGACGGGUAGCCGGCCUGAGAGGGCGACCGGCCACACUGGGACUGAGACACGGCCCAGACUCCUACGGGAGGCAGCAGUGGGGAAUAUUGCACAAUGGGCGAAAGCCUGAUGCAGCGACGCCGCGUGAGGGAUGACGGCCUUCGGGUUGUAAACCUCUUUCAGCAGGGAAGAAGCGAAAGUGACGGUACCUGCAGAAGAAGCACCGGCUAACUACGUG